GCUGAGGGAACCAGAUGGACCUGACUACAGCAGCCUUCCACUGAUCAUCAUCUCUCCCAAACACUUUUCUGCACAUAUUUACACAUGACCUCAUGAAGUGACAAAGAUGUCUUCCUCUAGAAGAUGUCAUCCUCCGCAAAAUGGUGUCAGCUGUUGUCCUAGCACCAGUAUGAUACUGGCCAGUGAGUAUUCUUCUAAAUGAUUUCCAGCACAGUUUGGGCAUUAGAAAGGGCCAGAGAUCACUUUUGACAGGCACUUGGGAUACAGCCACCUUGUUUUGAAAUCCAAAGGGUUCACUACCAUAGACAUGGGGCGUAUGGUGACUAGUGGUCAGAAUAAACAGAGAACAGAUCCAAGGAUGUUUAAUUUUCUGUUACAAAUGUAGCCAUUGUGCAUCACUGGUCAAACAGAAUAGAAUAGGAUAAACUAUCUAUCAGCUUGAAGCUAAAUAAUCCAAGCCAUGACUCUUGUUUUUAUAUGUAUAUAAUCACUCCAUUAUGCAAUGUAUCAUGCCUCUUCUAAUGAUUUUCAUCUGCUAUCACACAGUUUAUAAGUGGCUAAUUAUUCUACCUGCACAAUCAACAUGCAUGCACAUUCUAGAAUAUAGUAUCCUCAUCUGUAUAGUUCCUGCUUCGUACUUUUUUUUUUUUUAAUGACAUAUCUGAGCAUUUUCUAGUUUGUGUGUCCUUUCCUACUGAAUAUCAUGUUUUUUCUUAUACAGUAUUCCGUAAAUCUUAUGAAGACCUUCAGAAGUUCUUUGAUGCACUACAGUCACUGUCCUUGUUGGUCUAAUAUGCAGGCAUUUCUCAGUUACAGUGGUUUUCAAGUAAGGCAUAAUUAUCUCAAGUCAACACUGAUUAUCCCACAAUUAAAAUUAUACUAUCAGAGCCUGAAGCCCAAAAGAAAAUCAGGCGAUGGUCACAUAAUGCACUGUAAAAGCACAGUGCAUAGGGAUAUCAACUCAGAGCUGAAUAAUGCUUAAACUGAUUUCAGAAAAAAAUAAUAUAUAAUUAAUGAGCUUGAUAACUCCAGCUUGGACCCUUUGUUUCUAUUCAGUACAGUUUUUCAUCACAGUCUUUACAGCAGCAUCUGGGAGUCAGUUUUGUAAUGAUAUUUAGGCUCCCACUUCCAGAGCCUGUUCUGAGUGUUAGACACAUAGAUGAGAGCUGGGGGGAGGUGAAUAAAAUAAGGCUGCACAUUUCUGUUAACA
rnacentral:lncRNA from 1 species